AACGAACGCUGGCGGCGUGGCUAAGGCAUGCAAGUCGAACGAAUAUAUUCCAAGGGUAACUGAGGGAUAUAUUAGUGGCGAACGGGUGAGGAAUACAUGGACAACGUACCCUGGACUCGGGGAUAGCGGCGGGCCGCAAGGCUCUUUAGUGAAAGUGCCGGUAAUACCCGAUGACCCCGCGUGAUCGCAUGAUCGUGCGGGCAAAGCUCCGACGGUCCGGGAUCGGUUCAUGCCUAUCAGCUAGUUGGUGAGGUAACGGCUCACCAAGGCAACGACGGGUACCGGGCGUGAGAGCGUGACCCGGCACAUCGGAACUGAGAUACGGUCCGGACACCUACGGGUGGCUGCAGCAACGAAUAUUCCGCAAUGGACGCAAGUCUGACGGAGCGACGCCGCGUGUAGGA
rnacentral:rRNA from 1 species